UUCCCUUUCUCUCUGCAUUUUUAUAAAGCAAACAGAAGGAGUUGUUACAGUCUCUCACAGAAAGACAUUCCCUCCACCUUUAAAUAUGUUUAUGACUUGUUUUCUGAAAGAUUGAUAAUGUCAUUUUUAAAAAUAGCUAGCUAGAGAAUGCUAGCCUUAACACUGACUCUGCAGUGUUACAAGUAUGCUUUUUUUUUGCCAUUGCAGAAGACUGUUAUGCAAACCAUUGAAAAUGAAUGUCAAAUUGCUCAUCCAGCACUUCCCAGCUGAAUCUCAGCCUUCUAGGAUAUAGUCCAUCAUUCUGAAAUUCUACUUCAUGAACUUAUCAAGCACAGAGGUGAGGCUGACUGGUUGAGAAAACUGCUGCUCAUUGGUGAAACGUGCCACAACCCAGGUUCUCAGUCUGUUCGCCAGCUGGUUGUUAAAUAAG